GACGAACGCUGGCGGCGUGCCUAAUACAUGCAAGUCGAACGAACCGCGACUAAGUGCUUGCACUCAGUCAAGGUGAGUGGCGAACGGGUGAGUAACACGUGGGUAACCUACCUCAUAGUGGGGGAUAACAGUCGGAAACGACUGCUAAUACCGCAUAGGACAUAGGAUCACAUGAUCCAGUGAGGAAAGGUGGCGCAAGCUAUCGCUAAGAGAUGGACCCGCGGUGCAUUAGCUAGUUGGUAGGGUAAAGGCCUACCAAGGCGAUGAUGCAUAGCCGACCUGAGAGGGUGAUCGGCCACAUUGGGACUGAGACACGGCCCAAACUCCUACGGGAGGCAGCAGUAGGGAAUCUUCCGCAAUGGACGCAAGUCUGACGGAGCAACGCCGCGUGAGUGAAGAGGGUCUUCGGAUCGUAAAGCUCUGUUGUUAGAGAAGAACAGCGCAUAGAGUAACUGCUAUGCGUGUGACGGUAUCUAAACAGAAAGCCACGGCUAACUACGUG
rnacentral:rRNA from 1 species